CUUUUCCUGAGCUAUUUCUCCGCAGAUGACUGCUGCAGACCAGCGUGUACUGAUAGCAUCAAAGUUUCCCUUGGAAAUGCUCCAAGGUGUUCAGCUCUCUGGACCACACGGUUGCUGUUCACACCCUUUGGGAGCUACUGAUCUGCCUGCCUCCGACUGGACUUUUCUUUUCUGUGCCAAUGACUUCACACUUUUCUCGAGUACCAGAACACACACCCACCUGUGACAAGCAUGAUCAGGAGACUGAGAUCACUGUGAAUUUACACCAAAUGCAACAAGAAAGAGGGAACAGCUGCGACAAGGUUUUCUGAUGUGGAGUGAAAGGGCUUUGAAGCUGCUUUGUGUCCCCAGGUCUCCUUCUAUCUCACAUAAAAGAGAUGACUGCAAAUGCAGCACCUCAAAAGGAACUGGCUCUGAACUGCUCAUCACCUAGGGAAAAUGUACUAACAGGCUCUUGAGAACAAACUGCAGAGAGAAAUUGGCAACUGUAGAGCUGAUAAAACUAUGCAGGUACCACGAGUAUGCUGGGGUUUGUAAAACAUGCUGUUUUUCAGAAAUUCCAGAAGAGAACUGCUGCAAAAUUGUGAUCCUUCUUUGUUACAUAUUGUACAUUUUAGGUCAACAGUGUACUCUGUAAUCUUUUCAUCCUGUGAAAAGACCCCAGAGAUUGAGUCAAUAGGCUUGGUUGGGAAUAAUACAGUUUCUCUGAUCCUG
rnacentral:lncRNA from 7 species